rnacentral:pre_miRNA from 2 species
UAUAACGUAGAUCUCAGCCCUCCAAAAUAAAUCCAAUAGCUGAGAUUCGUCCACGUCAUCAUGAGUUAAAAUUUAACUCCAAUAAAAUUUACGAGUUAAAUUUUAACUCGUGAUGACGUGGACGAAUCUCAGCCGUUGGAUUUGUUUUGGAGGGCUGAGAUCUGAGCUAUG